UACGUAGGGGGCAAGCGUUGUCCGGAUUUAUUGGGCGUAAAGAGCGUGUAGGCGGUUUGGUAGGUCCGCUGUGAAAACUCGAGGCUCAACCUCGAGACGCCGGUGGAAACCAUCAGACUAGAGUCCGGAAGAGGAGAGUGGAAUUCCUGGUGUAGCGGUGAAAUGCGCAGAUAUCAGGAAGAACACCCGUGGCUAAGGCGGCUCUCUAGUACGUGACUGACGCUGAGACGCGAAAGCGUGGGGAGCGAACAGG
rnacentral:rRNA from 1 species